rnacentral:rRNA from 1 species
GAUGAACGCUAGCGAUAGGCUUAACACAUGCAAGUCGAGGGGCAGCACGCUUUCGGGUGGUGGCGACCGGCGCACGGGUGAGUAACGCGUAUGUAACCUACCCAUAACCGGGGGAUAGCCCGUUGAAAGACGGAUUAAUACCGCAUAACACAGGGAUACCGCAUGGUAUAUUUGUUAAAGAUUCAUUGGUUAUGGAUGGGCAUGCGUAACAUUAGGUAGUUGGUAAGGUAACGGCUUACCAAGCCUUCGAUGUUUAGGGGUUCUGAGAGGAAGGUCCCCCACACUGGUACUGAGACACGGACCAGACUCCUACGGGAGGCAGCAGUGAGGAAUAUUGGUCAAUGGGCGAGAGCCUGAACCAGCCAAAUCGCGUGAAGGAUGACGGUAUUAUGUAUUGUAAACUUCUUUUGUUAGGGAAUAAAGUGAGGGACGUGUCCCUUUUUGUAUGUACCUAACGAAUAAGCAUCGGCUAACUCCGUGCCAGCAGCCGCGGUAAUACGGAGGAUGCGAGCGUUAUCCGGAUUUAUUGGGUUUAAAGGGUGCGUAGGUUGGGAUUUAAGUCAGCGGUGAAAGUUUGCAGCUUAACUGUAAAAUUGCCGUUGAAACUGGGUUCCUUGAGUGCGAACGAGGUAGGCGGAAUUCGUAGUGUAGCGGUGAAAUGCAUAGAUAUUACGAAGAACUCCGAUAGCGCAGGCAGCUUACCAGGCCGCAACUGACACUGAAGCACGAAAGUGUGGGUAUCAAACAGGAUUAGAUACCCUGGUAGUCCACACAGUAAACGAUGAUAACUAGCUGUUUGCGAUAUACAGUAAGUGGCACAGCGAAAGCGUUAAGUUAUCCACCUGGGGAGUACGCCGGCAACGGUGAAACUCAAAGGAAUUGACGGGGGCCCGCACAAGCGGAGGAACAUGUGGUUUAAUUCGAUGAUACGCGAGGAACCUUACCAAGGUUUAAAUGUACUACGAAUAAGCUAGAAAUAGUUUAGUCUUCGGACGGAGUACAAGAUGCUGCAUGGUUGUCGUCAGCUCGUGCCGUGAGGUGUUGGGUUAAGUCCCUCAACGAGCGCAACCCUCAUUGUUAGUUGCCAGCGAAUAAUGUCGGGGACUCUAACAAGACUGCCGACGUAAGUCGAGAGGAAGGUGGGGAUGACGUCAAAUCAUCACGGCUCUUAUACCUUGGGCUACACACGUGCUACAAUGGUCGGUACAAAGGGUUGCUACUGGGCAAUCAGAUGCUAAUCUCUAAAAGCCGAUCUCAGUUCGGAUUGGAGUCUGCAACUCGACUCUAUGAAGUUGGAAUCGCUAGUAAUCGCAUAUCAGCCAUGAUGCGGUGAAUACGUUCCCGGGCCUUGUACACACCGCCCGUCAAGCCAUGGAAGUCGGGGGGACCUGAAAUCGGUGACCAUAAAAGGAGCUGCUUAAGGUAAAAUCGAUAACUGGGGCU